GUCAUUAAUCCAGAAGAUUGCAAUAUCUCUCUACAAUGCAAUGAAGAUCAAAUUUGCUAUACAGAACACAUUUACCUUAACCAGGAAAAAAGAUUCAGAAUGGGCUGUACACCAAAGUCAGGAUGUCUUGCCACCACUUCCUCGGGAGCUCAGGUGGGAAUUCUUGGAAAGCGAGACAAUGAGGUAUCGUUCUUACACCGCUGUAGAAUGGCGUCACGUGCAGACCGUAAAUA